rnacentral:rRNA from 1 species
UCGCGGCCUAUCAGCUUGUUGGUGGGGUAAUGGCCCACCAAGGCGACGACGGGUAGCCGGCCUGAGAGGGCGACCGGCCACACUGGGACUGAGACACGGCCCAGACUCCUACGGGAGGCAGCAGUGGGGAAUAUUGCACAAUGGGCGAAAGCCUGAUGCAGCGACGCCGCGUGAGGGAUGACGGCCUUCGGGUUGUAAACCUCUUUCAGCAGGGAAGAAGCGAAAGUGACGGUACCUGCAGAAGAAGCGCCGGCUAACUACGUGCCAGCAGCCGCGGUAAUACGUAGGGCGCAAGCGUUGUCCGGAAUUAUUGGGCGUAAAGAGCUCGUAGGCGGCUUGUCACGUCGGAUGUGAAAGCCCGAGGCUUAACCUCGGGUCUGCAUUCGAUACGGGCUAGCUAGAGUGUGGUAGGGGAGGUCGGAAUUCCUGGUGUAGCGGUGAAAUGCGCAGAUAUCAGGAGGAACACCGGUGGCGAAGGCGGAUCUCUGGGCCAUUACUGACGCUGAGGAGCGAAAGCGUGGGGAGCGAACAGGAUUAGAUACCCUGGUAGUCCACGCCGUAAACGUUGGGAACUAGGUGUUGGCGACAUUCCACGUCGUCGGUGCCGCAGCUAACGCAUUAAGUUCCCCGCCUGGGGAGUACGG